CUUUUCAGGCCCGGAGCCCCAGGAAGCACUUGAGGCGUGUUGCAACGCCGAAGCACUGGAUGCACGAUAAACUAAUGGGUGUAUUUGAGUUAACCUCUGGAUGAGCAGGUGAUUAUGACACCUGCAGGUGGGAGCAGACCUUACUACACUGCGGCUUUGGAAAGCACCAGGAAUACAAAGAAUGCAGGGAACUGCCGUGCCCUUUAUGAACCAAACACUGGCAGCAGAAGAUUUACCAGAAGACAAUUUUUUAAAGAAAUUAGA